GCUGGGCAUGGUGGUGCGUGCCUGUAAUCCCAGCUACUUGGGAGGCUGAGGCAGAAGAAUCGCUUGAGCCCAGGAGGUGGAGGUUGCAGUGAGCAGAGAUCGCACCACUGUACUCCAGCUGGGCAACAGAGUGAGACUCCGCCUCAA
rnacentral:SRP_RNA from 2 species